rnacentral:tRNA from 1 species
GCUCAGUGGGUAGAGCAUGAGACUCUUAAUCUCAGGGUCGUGGGUUCGUGCCCCAC